AACGCACAUUGCGCCCUCUGGUAUUCCGGAGGGCAUGCCUGUUCGAGCGUCAUAUAACGACUAUCAAGCACAGCUUGGCCUUAGGCUUUCGUCCCUGCAACGGGGCGGGCCUUAAAUACUUUGGCGGUGGCAUCGAGCCUCGAGCGUAGUAAAUAUUCCGCUUUUAGAGGUCUCGUGGUCGCUUGCUUCCAGAACCCCAAACUUCUAAGUAUUGACCUCGGAUCAGGUAGGGAUACCCGCUGAACUUAA
rnacentral:misc_RNA from 1 species